rnacentral:rRNA from 1 species
GCACAAGCAGCGGAGCGUGUGGUUUAAUUCGAUGCUACACGAAGAACCUUACCAGGGUUUGACAUGCAAGUGGUAGGAAUCUGAAAAGGGACCGACCCUUCGGGGAGCUUUGCACAGGUGCUGCAUGGCUGUCGUCAGCUCGUGUCGUGAGAUGUUCGGUUAAGUCCGCUAACGAGCGCAACCCUCACUGUGUGUUAUAUGUGUCACACGGGACUGCCGGUUUUAAGCCGGAGGAAGGUGGGAUGACGUCAAGUCAGCAUGGCCUUUAUAUCCUGGGCUACACACACGCUACAAUGGUCGGUACAAUAGGUUGCCAAGCCGCGAGGCGGAGCCAAUCCACAAAGCCGGCCUCAGUUCAGAUUGUAGGCUGCAACUCGCCUGCAUGAAGAUGGAGUUGCUAGUAACCGCAGGUCAGCAAUACUGCGGUGAAUACGUUCCCGGGUCUU